rnacentral:lncRNA from 1 species
GUGCAUUUGCAUAACAAUGAACUUUCCAUUAAAAAGAAAUCCUCAAGAAUUGUUUCACUGUUCAUUCUGUUCUGUCAUAGUUAUUGUUUGUUUCCCAUAUUUGAAAUUCUUUGCACAGUCACUUUCCCUAGCAUCCUUGUCUUGUUUCCUCUUUGUCCCUGUGUGUAUUUUUAAAGCUUUCUCUUCACAAUGGCAAAGACAGCAGCUGGCUUCAACUCCUGUUUAGAUACCAGUUGGAGGCCUUCGUUGAAUGAAAGAAGAUCCAUUAAAAGAGGAGAUGCCAUUCCAAGAAAACCAUGGAAGCAGAAAAGAGGAAGGCAGAAACACAGAUGAAGUAAGAAGCUAUGUCCUCUGUGCAUGGAGACAGCAGAUCUAUUAGUAGACAGGAUGAAGAGAAAAGGUGGGAAGAAAAGCCACAUGGCUGAUGUGACAAGGAAGAAACCUUCAAAAAUCUCAUUUUCAAGUUACAUGGCAAAUUCAGAUACCACCUACAUAAGGACCAUGAGAAAUGCUCCAAGAAGUAGCAUCCAGUUAAGCUCACUUUCUACAUUUCUGCUUUGGAUGUACUCUUCUUUGGCACCUGUCUGCCACUUCCAUGGAAGCGUGGCUGCAGUACUUUCCCUUUUCAUUUCCUUGUUGCUAGGUCAGGCUGAAAAAUAAAGACUAAGAUGACAAUAAAAGCUCCAGUGGAAAUAAAACA